rnacentral:rRNA from 1 species
UUAUUGGGCGUAAAGAGCUCGUAGGCGGUUUGUCGCGUCUGCUGUGAAAUCCCGAGGCUCAACCUCGGGUCUGCAGUGGGUACGGGCAGACUAGAGUGCGGUAGGGGAGAUUGGAAUUCCUGGUGUAGCGGUGGAAUGCGCAGAUAUCAGGAGGAACACCGAUGGCGAAGGCAGAUCUCUGGGCCGUAACUGACGCUGAGGAGCGAAAGCAUGGGGAGCGAACAGGAUUAGAUACCCUGGUAGUCCAUGCCGUAAACGUUGGGAACUAGAUGUGGGGACCAUUCCACGGUCUCCGUGUCGCAGCUAACGCAUUAAGUUCCCCGCCUGGGGAGUACGGCCGCAAGGCUAAAACUCAAAGGAAUUGACGGGGGCCCGCACAAGCGGCGGAGCAUGCGGAUUAAUUCGAUGCAACGCGAAGAACCUUACCAAGGCUUGACAUAUACCGGAAACGUGCAGAGAUGUGCGCCCCGCAAGGUCGGUGUACAGGUGGUGCAUGGUUGUCGUCAGCUCGUGUCGUGAGAUGUUGGGUUAAGUCCCGCAACGAGCGCAACCCUCGUUCUAUGUUGCCAGCACGUAAUGGUGGGAACUCAUAGGAGACUGCCGGGGUCAACUCGGAGGAAGGUGGGGAUGACGUCAAAUCAUCAUGCCCCUUAUGUCUUGGGCUUCACGCAUGCUACAAUGGCCGGUACAAAGGGCUGCGAUACCGUAAGGUGGAGCGAAUCCCAAAAAGCCGGUCUCAGUUCGGAUUGAGGUCUGCAACUCGACCUCAUGAAGUCGGAGUUCGCUAGUAAUCGCAGAUCAGCAACGCUGCGGUGAAUACGUUCCCGGGCCUUGUACACACCGCCCGUCAAGUCAUGAAAGUCGGUAACACCCGAAGCCAGUGGCCUAACCGCAGGGGAGGAGCUGUCGAAGGUGGGAUCGGUCGAUUAGGACUAAGUCGUAACUAAGGG